UGCCUCUUGGACUGGGACAACUGUUGGAAACGACAGCUAAUACCGGAUAUUAUGAGAUUCUCGCAUGAGAAACUUAUGAAAGCUAUAUGCGCCAAGAGAGAGCCUUGCGUUCCAUUAGCUAGUUGGUGGGGUAACGGCCCACCAAGGCGACGAUGGAUAGCCGGCCUGAGAGGGUGAACGGCCACAAGGGGACUGAGACACGGCCCUUACUCCUACGGGAGGCAGCAGUGGGGAAUAUUGGACAAUGGGCCACAAGCCUGAUCCAGCAAUUCUGUGUGCACGAUGAAGGUCUUCGGAUUGUAAAGUGCUUUCAGUUGGGAAGAAGAAAGUGACGGUACCAACAGAAGAAGCGACGGCUAAAUACGUGCCAGCAGCCGCGGUAAUACGUAUGUCGCAAGCGUUAUCCGGAUUUAUUGGGCGUAAAGCGCGUCUAGGCGGAAAAAUAAGUCUGAUGUUAAAAUGCGGGGCUCAACUCCGUAUUGCGUUGGAAACUGUUUUUCUAGAGUACUGGAGAGGUGGGCGGAACUACAAGUGUAGAGGUGAAAUUCGUAGAUAUUUGUAGGAAUGCCGAUGGAGAAGUCAGCUCACUGGACAGAUACUGACGCUGA
rnacentral:rRNA from 1 species